rnacentral:rRNA from 1 species
AGAGUUUGAUCCUGGCUCAGAUUGAACGCUGGCGGCAUGCCUUACACAUGCAAGUCGAGCGGCAGCGCGGGGGCAACCCUGGCGGCGAGCGGCGAACGGGUGAGUAAUACAUCGGAACGUGUCCUCUUGUGGGGGAUAACCAGUCGAAAGACUGGCUAAUACCGCAUGAGAUCGCAAGAUGAAAGCAGGGGACCGCAAGGCCUUGCGCGAGAGGAGCGGCCGAUGUCCGAUUAGCUAGUUGGUGAGGUAACGGCUCACCAAGGCGACGAUCGGUAGCUGGUUUGAGAGAACGACCAGCCACACUGGGACUGAGACACGGCCCAGACUCCUACGGGAGGCAGCAGUGGGGAAUUUUGGACAAUGGGGGCAACCCUGAUCCAGCCAUGCCGCGUGUGUGAAGAAGGCCUUCGGGUUGUAAAGCACUUUCGGACGGAACGAAAUCGCACGGGUGAACAUCCCGUGUGGAUGACGGUACCGUAAGAAGAAGCACCGGCUAACUACGUGCCAGCAGCCGCGGUAAUACGUAGGGUGCGAGCGUUAAUCGGAAUUACUGGGCGUAAAGUGUGCGCAGGCGGCCCUGCAAGUCGAGUGUGAAAUCCCCGGGCUUAACUUGGGAAUGGCGCUCGAAACUACGGGGCUAGAGUGUGGCAGAGGGAGGUGGAAUUCCACGUAGCGGUGAAAUGCGUAGAGAUGUGGAGGAACACCAAUGGCGAAGGCAGCCUCCUGGGCCAACACUGACGCUCAUGCACGAAAGCGUGGGGAGCAAACAGGAUUAGAUACCCUAGUAGUCC